rnacentral:rRNA from 1 species
CCUACGGGAGGCAGCAGUGAGGAAUAUUGGUCAAUGGCCGGAAGGCUGAACCAGCCAUGCCGCGUGAAGGUCAGUGCCCUAUGGGCGUUAAACUUCUUUUGUGCGGGAGCAAUAAUGGUCACGUGUGGCCAGACGAGAGUACCGUACGAAUAAGCAUCGGCUAAAUCCGUGCCAGCAGCCGCCGUAAUAAGGGGGAUGCAAGCGUUAUCCGGAUUUAUUGGGUUUAAAGGGUGCGUAGGCUGUGAGGUAAGGCAGCGUUUAAAUGCCCCCGCUUCACGGGGUGAAGUGCAAUUGAUACUGGCUUGCUGGAAUGCGGAUGGGGUGGGAGGAAUGUGUGGUGUAGCGGUGAAAUGCAUAGAUAUCACACAGAACACCGAUUGCGAAGGCAUCUCACGAAUCCGCGAUUGACGCUGAUGCACGAAAGCGUGGGUAUCAAACAGGAUGAGAUACCCUAGUAGUC